AGCUUUUUGAAUAUAUAAAGGGUGUUGUCUGCUCAAUGAGCAUUAAAUAGCCAUGGUAUUUAUGACUAUGCAAAGGUAGCAUAAUCAUUUGUCUUGUAAAUUAAGACUUGUAUGAAUGGAUAAAUGGGGUAAUUCUUUCUUAAGCUAAGUAUUAAAAAUAAUUUUUUUAGUGAAGAAACUAAAAUGAUAGUGAGGGACGAGAAGACCCUAUUAAGCUUUAUAUAAUUAUUUUGUUGGGGAAACAAAAGAAGAAAAUUUCUUUUUAAAAAGUUUUUGAUAAAUUUUGAUUUAUUAUUAAUGAUGAUAGAAUAAGUUACUAUAGGGAUAACAGCAUAAUUUUUUUAACAAGUUCUUAUUAAUAAAGAAGAGUUAUGACCUCGAUGUUGGAUUAAAAAUAUUAUAUGGUGUAGCGGUUGUAUAAAUUAGUC
rnacentral:rRNA from 1 species